rnacentral:lncRNA from 1 species
ACGUCCCACUUUGUUGUUAGUCUUUUUGGCAAAAUGAAGACGAAUGUGUACACUGUGAUAUCUGAUAUCCUCAGGAUGAAAACUUGUUUAUUCCACCUUUAUACACUAGCGCGUGGUGAAUAUAAUACGCCAUAAAGAUUUGUAAUUUAUCCUCUUUGAUAAAACUGGCAAGAAGUUCGCACUGAAUGACCAAAUUAUAUUUUUAAAGGAAGGACAUCAACAGCCUCGUUAAAUCUAUUAAUGAAUCUGUUUGGUUAGUAUAGUGUUGUUGUUGCGUCCACUAGUUCAACAAGUGUCCUUCAUGAUAACCGAAGUAAAUUUAUUUUGUUUUAUCCGCGUGUAUUAUUUUGUAUGCAGGCGGUGUGUGUGUGUGUGACCAUUCUCGUUUUGAAGUGAUCAUCUCGAUCUUGGAUUUAUUUUGGUCACCUGCAUAAUUUUGUUAUUGUUCGUGACCGGCCAAUGUGGGUGUUUCUCCGUCGUAAAAUGUCUGCUGUUGACUACAACGAAAGUUUAGGAGAGUAUUUUAAAAGAGAAAAGGCAAGUGGUGUAGUUUAACCAUAAGGACGAUUUACCAACUUUAUUCUUUUAAAAACAUAACGCAACAAGAUGAAAUUGUUUCAUACAUUCAGAGAAUGAGAAAUGUCCUCCUGUAACAGCCAACCGUUAAAAUGGGUGUAAUGGAGACUGGUGUCUUGUAGGACAACACCCAUUCCCAUGCUUGGGAUUUCCAACCAUAUUUUAUCUCCUGACUGCACGUGCAGGGUGGAUUGAAGGGAAUACAUUUCCCAUUCAACUUUACCGGUAAAAUCGUUACAUUCCGCUCUUCCGACUUCAUUUCCAUUCAACAACAAGGCCACAUCGAGAUGGCCGCCCGAUGAAGGAAUAACUCCGAUUCCGGUGAAAGAAAAGAAAUAGAUUCCGGUGCGCGGAACUGUGAAAGUUCCUGACGUUGAAUUCAUGGCGUCUCCCAUGUUCAAUUUUUCUAUCUCGAAUGGAAUCGGAGUGCUUAACAAAUUGAAGGACUUGCUUUUCUGAACGUAGAAAUAGUUCCCAUAACCGAAUAUAAUCCGCUCAAAGUGUGACCCAUUCGCCAGAGAUCUUGACAUGAAGUUGGCAUUCCGGCCACCUCUCCUUUACCAGUACAUUCAAAUCUUCCUAGCGUAUGCUGACCGGAAGAAGUUUCCAGUAUUGUUCUUCCAAAGUUCAGGCGUGUGAUAGGAAGUACACUCUUUUCGAAAUCAGCGUCCUGCUUACUUACCACUGUCGACUAGCGAUAUUUGCAGACCGGAAUCGCAGUUACAAGGAAUAAAAGAUUCGACGCAAGUAUGCUCGAUUCCGCACUGACAGGUGUGUGCACUAGCGUUGCUUCCCGACCAGAAAUAUUGCGGAUUCCCAUUUCUGUCGUUCCACCAGGAAUAGUCCAUCCCGUUGAUUGUAAGCGGCGCUGCAACGCAAUCGUACUACAUUGAUCCGUGUAAACAAAAAGUUUUAGUUAUUCUAAUCAAAGCAUUUAUGAUCACAUACUCUGAUAGACUGGUGACAUUCAGUGGACAACUCUGCCAACGCUGUCAUUUGUCUGAAAGUUGCAUUGUAGUUGAUAGCCUUUGAAUAACAUCCAGGAUCGGCGCAGUGUCCCACGUCCGUUUUCAGUUCGCUAUCGUGUAAAAUCGAUGUCGAACCUUUUUAGAAAAGGAUCGUCACCAAUGCCUUGGCCAUCUGGAUCGAUCCAUUGCAUGCCAGAACUCAAGGACGGAUUGGCUGAUCUAGACUCAUCACACGUUCUGAAAAUGGCACUUUUUCCGGCCAAUUGACUCUCAGGAUGAGGACGAUUCGAUAAAGAAGAUUUUAAAUUUGUUUGUUUUUCAUUCCCGAAUGAAUUGAUGAACGAUUCUUGAUUCUUCACUAUGGCCUCUAGUCGAGUUACUUUGGUCUCCAGUUGGGUAACUUUUGCCUCCCAUUUAGUUUCUCUUUCUGCCAAAAUUUCUUUGAUUUGCAUCUUUAAAAAAUUUAACAUAAUUUUAUUUAUGCUAGACUUGCGAGUGUAAUUAAAAUGUAUUACGUAGUUUUCUCUUAUUUGCUGUUGUUGGUCUUCAACUGAAAGGCUGGCACAGUUGGUUGCAAAAGAUAAAACCCAAACACCGAAAUGAAUUAACAUGAGAAAGCGAGUCAUGUUAGCCAAUAAUAUGGUUCUAGCCGGACUAGUACUAUUUUACAUCAAAUGCAUCGCAAUUUAUGAAGCCUCUCACAAGCCUUAUACGAUAAGACAUACUCAUUGUUGUUGCCCUUCCCUACGGAAUCCGAAAUACUCGUUAUCUCAGUAUCCGAUAUCUGAAUGUAGUAUGGCAUUUAAAAGCUGAUUGACAAAAUGCAAUGCAUCAGCAAUGUCAUCACAAUAGUCAUGCGCAGUCAGGCUUAAUUCUACCAUAAGAUAUACUUGGUUUUGUUAUAGAAGGCUAAGUAUUUAUUCAAGAUCACGUGGAACCAUGAGAUAAAGUGGGAUGUUCGUAUAUCAAAAUUCCUAUUUUAACAAGUGUACAUCAGGACAAAACGAUUAACUAAAAAUAUAAAUUGUUAAAAAUGUUCCUUAUAAGUAUAGCCCCGUAGCACAUUUACAAACCAUUAAAUUUGUGGAGACGAUGUGAAGUUGUCCGGACAGCGGAUCGAGACUCUCCCGAGGCUGAACUAGUUAAAACAUUUUUUUUAAAGCUAACCCGUUCAGUUAAUUGAAUUUCUAAAAAUUUCCAUCUAGUUUAAUGGGUGUGAUUUUUCACACGGAUUUACAAUUUUGGUUUGCCGUCUGAAUUACGCUAAAUUGUUACUCUUUAAAAGUCGACCCUCUACCAGAUUUCAUUUCUUAAAAUAACCACUAUUGUAUAUCAAAAUUAUUAUCAAAAUUCAUAUUUUUACAAGUGUACAUCAGGACAAAACGAUUAACUAAAAAUAUAAAUUGUUAAAAAUGUUCCUUAUAAGUAUAGCCCCGUAGCACAUUUACAAACCAUUAAAUUUGUGGAGACGAUGUGAAGUUGUCCGGAAAGCGGAUCGAGACUCUCCCGAGGCUGAACUAGUUAAAACAUUUUUUUUAAAGCUAACCCGUUCAGUUAAUUGAAUUUCUAAAAAUUUCCAUCUAGAUUAAUGGGUGUGAUUUUUCACACGGAUUUACAAUUUUGGUUUGCCGUCUGAAUUACGCUAAAUUGUUACUCUUUAAAAGUCGACCCUCUACCAGAUUUCAUUUCUUAAAAUAACCACUAUUGUAUAUCAAAAUUAUUAUCAAAAUUCAUAUUUUUACAAGUGUACAUCAGGACAAAACGAUUAACUAAAAAUAUAAAUUGUUAAAAAUGUUCCUUAUAAGUAUAGCCCCGUAGCACAUUUACAAACCAUUAAAUUUGUGGAGACGAUGUGAAGUUGUCCGGACAGCGGAUCGAGACUCUCCCGAGGCUGAACUAGAUAUAACAUUUUU